AGAAUAAUUCAGGGAACCUUGGCAAGCUGACAGCUUUGUUAAUGGGAGCAACUAAACAAAACCAAGUUAAUAUAAACCAACCUCUCUGCUAUUUAGAGGAUCAUAAUCACACUGCCCAUUUGUAGCUGAGUUGCAUAUUAUAUAAUACAUACAUACUAAACAUAUAUCUCAAUUGUCCAACUGCUCUUUGCUGUUUUCCCAGAUAACUCAUUCUGUUGAGUGAACCUAUGGCACCCAAUAUAUGAUUCUUGGAUUUACAGUAUGGGCCACCAGCAUUUAAAUCAAAGCUCAUUGUUUUUCAAUAUGUUUUGCAUGUAUAGGCUUUGAUAUAUUUAGGAAAAACUCACUCAACUCCAGACAUGUAUCCAGUAUUUUUUCUUAUGUGGAACUAGUUGCUGAAAAUUUUUUUUUUAUGGAACUAGUUU
rnacentral:lncRNA from 1 species